GACGUUAGCGGCGGACGGGUGAGUAACACGUGGGUAACCUACCUAUAAGACUGGGAUAACUUCGGGAAACCGGAGCUAAUACCGGAUAACAUUUGGAACCGCAUGGUUCUAAAGUGAAAGAUGGUUUUGCUAUCACUUAUAGAUGGACCCGCGCCGUAUUAGCUAGUUGGUAAGGUAACGGCUUACCAAGGCGACGAUACGUAGCCGACC
rnacentral:rRNA from 1 species